rnacentral:lncRNA from 1 species
AAAAAAGACUUAAUUACCUUUUUAGUUCCCAAAUUGGGGACUGAAUUUCUAUCUUGUACCCGCUUUUGAAAAUGAUGUAAUUUGGUUCCCAGAUUAUUAAUUUUGAUGUUAUUAAAUCCCUUCCGUUAAGUUGGUAGAAACGGUAUUAACUUCACAUUACGUGGCUGCUGCAGUUUUCUUAUCUCUCCUCUACUUUUCCUGACAUUUCUUUCUCUUUCUUCUAUUUCUUUCUCUCACCAUUAUAACUAUCUCUCACCUUUCUCUCUCUCUUCCAC